rnacentral:rRNA from 1 species
GACGAACGCUGGCGGCGUGCUUAACACAUGCAAGUCGAACGGAAAGGCCCUGCUUUUGUGGGGUGCUCGAGUGGCGAACGGGUGAGUAACACGUGAGUAACCUGCCCUUGACUUUGGGAUAACUUCAGGAAACUGGGGCUAAUACCGGAUAGGAGCUCCUGCUGCAUGGUGGGGGUUGGAAAGUUUCGGCGGUUGGGGAUGGACUCGCGGCUUAUCAGCUUGUUGGUGGGGUAGUGGCUUACCAAGGCUUUGACGGGUAGCCGGCCUGAGAGGGUGACCGGCCACCUUGGGACUACGAUACGGCCCAGAGUCCUACGGGAGGCAGCAGUGGGGAAUAUUGCACAAUGGGCGGAAGCCUGAUGCAGAAACGCCGCGUGCGGGAUGACGGCCUUCGGGUUGUAAACCGCUUUCGCCUGUGACGAAGCGUGAGUGACGGUAAUGGGUAAAGAAGCACCGGCUAACUACGUG